rnacentral:snRNA from 1 species
GCUCUCUUCAGCAGGACAUCUACUAAAACGGGAAUGACAUAGAGCAGAGUAGAGUGGCCCCUGUGCAAGGAUAAAUGCAUAAAGUAUUUCAUAUUUUU